AGUGAACGCUGGCGGUGGGCCUAACACAUGCAAGUCGAACGGCAGCACAGGAGAGCUUGCUCUCUCGGUGGCGAGUGGCGGGCGGGUGAGGCAUACAUCGGCAUCUGCCCAGUCGGGGGGGAUAUCGUAGGGCAACUUACGCUACUACCGCAUACGACCUUCGGGUGAGAGAGGGGGAUAGCAAGACCUCUCGCGAUUGGAUGCGCCGAGGUCGGAUGAGCUAGUUAGCGGGGUAAUGGCCCACCAAGGCGACGAUCCGUAGCUGGUCUGAGAGGAUGAUCAGCCACACUGGAACUGAGACACGGUCCAGACUCCUACGGGAGGCAGCAGUGGGGAAUAUUGGACAAUGGGCGCAAGCCUGAUCCAGCGAGACCGCGUGGGUAAAGAAGGCCUUCGGGUUGGAAGGCCCUUUUGUUGGGAAAGAAAUGUUUCAGGCUAAGACCCUGGGAGGAUGACGGUACCCAAAGAAGAAGCACCGGCUAACUUCGUG
rnacentral:rRNA from 1 species